ensembl:lncRNA
UGGAUUUAAUAUAAAACAUCAAAUAUACAUUUAGUUACAGUCUAAUUUGAGUAAACAGUAACCAUAUCUUAAGGUGUUAAUAUAUCGGUGUAGCACAGAAACACAUGACUCUCUUUUAGUACAUGAAAUGCAGAAAUGGGUCAUUAAACUGCGCAUGCACUGCAGCAGAUAUUCACAAUAGAAGAGCGGCGGCUAACAUGAAACACAUGCUCUUAAAAAACGAGCUGAAUGAAAACAGCACCAGUCAACCGCUCAUGGAGAGAGAAGAAACCGCUCUAGUCACAGCGGAGAUAAGCUGAAGGGUCCUCUGGCGUCAACAGAAUAACUGAAUUACACAAAUAAAAGACAGAAGUGCAGCACAUGAACAAACAGAAAGAAUAAAGCCUGAGAAACAGGUUAGAGACAUCAUUUAGUUAGCUCAAAUAGUUAUACUCGCACUGAUAUAAAUACAGUGAUUGAAGCGUGAUGAUACUUUUUAAAUAAGUCAUAUUGAGUUUUUCUUCCACAAAAUAUUUUAAAAAAUCAAAUUAGCCAUAGGCUAGUAAUAGUUUCAACUUGGGCAGUCAGUCUACCUCCAGAGUUUUCCAGGUUAAAUUGUAAGACUAAAUACGUUAAUAUCACUUCAACUUAUUGACAUAUUACUAUAGUCCAGUUAAAAGGUCACAACAUUAUCAAGGAAAGUAGCCUACUGUUAAUCUUUAUUUGAUUAAGUACACUACUAUAUUAGUCUUUCUAGAGUAAAUGUAAUUGGUUACUUUCCAUCAGAUAAUGCUAACUAGCGUAGCUAACCGUACAUGAAGGUGGUUUUAGUUGAAAUUCUGAAACUGUUCAUUACUGAAACUACAGAAACACAGUAAUCAUUCUUUAUUCAUGCACUUGGGGGGUAACCUUUAAACAUGGUUACUAACUUUCUCUAUGCUAAGCUAAGCUAAAAGGCUGCAGUGAGAAUGGUUUUAAUAAUCUCUUAACAUGGACUAAACUCCAAUACGAAACAGCAAUAACCAUAUUUUCUAUUCCUCCAAAAUCAAACCAUCAAAAUCUACAUUGCUUAACAUCUGGUCUAUCUUUUUAGAAACACAAAAACCACGGUUGAGUUUCUUAUUCUAUACUGCAACCCAGAGGAUUGACACUCCGCUUCCUGAUUGGUAGC